rnacentral:lncRNA from 1 species
CUUCACAGCAGGGACACAUUUUGAUAAAAUUAAACGAAAUGUGUAGUCUCUGUGCGUCUAUGGAGAAACCUGAAAUGGAAACGGAGUGGGAGAGUACACGUGGUUAUGAGACAACUUUCAGUAGAUUCAAUUAUACUUCAAGCUUGAUGCUGUUAUGUUUUCUGUUUCCAACUGUGACAGAACCUGGAACAGAAAUGAAGUGUGUGACAAUAAUUCAUAGACAAAUUUAGACUAAUACUCUUUCAUGGAUGCUAAUUUUGGUAGAUCUAGCCAUAAAUGUUUUAUUAUAAUUCAAAGUGGUAUAUAGUUAUAUUUAUAAUAAUUCAUGGUUUGAAUUUGUUUUUAUAAAGCACUUUAUUGAACUAAAAUAAUCAUAGCUGCAUUUAGUAAAUUAUUUAGCACACAUGUGUGACUGCUGUCUCAUGCCUUAAGUGUUUCAGCUGCUAAAAUAUGUUUUGGGGAUAUUUUUUCUGGAUAGAAAUUGACUUUUCUGAUAUUGUACGAGUGUUUGGACAUUCCUUUCAAAGGUGAAAUAUGGCUACUUAUAUUGCUUUGUUUCUAAUAAUGAUAUUGAAGGUGUAAAGUAUGUAAAUAUUUUUGUAAGAAAUUGAUUAAACAUAUUGGCCAAUCAUU